rnacentral:piRNA from 1 species
UAGGCUAUCAUAGAUCCUUGAAAA